rnacentral:rRNA from 1 species
GGAUCCCAAUAUAUGAGCUCAUGAAGUCGAGGUGUCAAGCAGAUUUAUUGAUCCAAGUCAAGUGUGUUUCAGCUAGAGUAGUACUGGGAUGGGUGACCACCCGGGAAGUCCUAGUAUUUUACAUGCC